CUACUCAACGAUGCUUCAUCCCCGGGGUGUGGUCACGUAUUUAGCAACUGGUGCUAUGGAUAGGAUGGCCGACGUCGCAUCAAAAUACCUUCUUAAAGACCUUCUUAAAAAGCGCGGUCUGUUCCCGGUUUUAUUGGUUCAGCAUCUUCUUGCUGGUCAGAUCCCAUCAGGACAUUUAGAGGAUGAUCUGAAUCACCCUGAAAUUAAAGAGGACAUUUGCCCGUUAACAGAAAUUCGGAUUUGCGACGCAAGAUUUUAAAGUUCCCAAUUUAGGAGUGCGAAGAUUGCUGACAGAGGUAGUAAAAGGGGCUGGAGAGGCAAAUAUACCGGACUACUUCGCCAUGACGGACAGCCUCGUUCGUGGAGACUUCGAGAGCGCCUUACCCGCGUUGAAAUCCUACCUCAACAACCCCGGCGACUUCUUCAAGCAAGCCUUCUGGAGCGAUCCAGUGGAAGACAAACCCAAGACACUUCUAUCCUUCUACAUCGGGGAAAUUCUCUACGGAGUUGAGCUGCGCUACGACACUACAGCCAAGUUCGUGCACCACAAACAGGGAUUGGACUCCAUUGAGAUGUUACCCGGAGGGAAUUACGGGGUUCCCAUCAGAGUACGCAUGGUUGAAAUGGCAAGCCCCGAGGGUGGGUGGACGAAGAUGAAGGGCAAAGUCGCCAAGUUGAUGAUGUCAGUGCCGAAAAAUGAGACGGAGAUACUCGUCCAGUACGGCAAGUCGUUCGUGGAUGUCUGUCUUAGGCGGUUUCAGGGAUUCGCAGACGGCAAUAAUCAGAAUUCGACGGAUCGAUGAACGAAUAAGUUUUCAGGUUAUAAAGAACCCUAAAUCGUAGCUCUACUUUUGAAUAUGGAAAGAACUAUUUAUGCGACUGUAUUAUCAAUUUUACACGUCCUGUUUACUGAAGGGUCGGGGGAAUCUGCAGUAACUAGAAACCAGACCAAAACCACCAAUGUUGAAGAAACCGACUUUUUAUCGAAGACGAGAUCCAACCAACGACAUAUCACUGACUUUAAAGAGUUCAUAGAGAAUCACCAAAAGCUGUACGUAGACAAAACCCUAUUCCUCCCCGACUUCAUAUCCCGCGAGGAAAAGCAUAAGGGUCCAAUCGUACUCGUGACAAAACCGCCUGGAUUUGGAAAAUCACUCAUGGCAUCAACCAUGGAUUACUUUUUCAACUCCAAGUAUGACCUUAGCCGGUCAAAACGUCUCUUUUCAGGGCUCCAUGUCAUGGCCAACACCUCCACUAUGAACGAAUUCAGGGAGAAACACAUGAAUCGGUAUCCCGUGAUUAAAAUCAGCUUUGGAUCAUUUGAGGCUACCGAUUAUCAAAACGCGCUCAAAGACAUUGGACGAAUAUUUAAGCAGGUCAUCGAAGACCACGCCGAUGUCGCAGCUCAAGUCAAAGACCCGACCCUGGACCGCAUCUCCAACGGGACCGCCGACAAAGAAUGCCUCUAUGAGUUCGUCCAACUCCUCUGCGGCUAUGUCACCGACCACCACACUGAGGACCCCAUCCUCAUCGUCGACUCCUACGACACCCCCCUCUACUCCUCCUACGCCGCCAAAUACUUUCACAAGAUGGCCAAUCUAAUGUCUUACUUCUUCGAGGGCAUCUUCAAUGACGGGUUUCAUCGGUUCAGGAAGGCACUUAUCACUGGUGUCGCCACGGCGAAACUGGAGAGGGUGCGAAUAAGGAAGGAGGUCACAAGGGCCAAGGUCGAUGAUCAUGACCCUUUGGCGGAGUACUUCGGGUUUUCUAAGGAGGAGAUCAUCACACUGAUGGCGAGGAAUGGGCGGCAUCGUGGGAACCAGGGCACCUACCGCACUCUGGUGAAGAGUUUUGGUGGCUAUGGCUUUCGCGAUUUCAACGUGACUAUGUUCAACCCUAGCGGUGUGAUCAGGUUUUUUGACAAGGGAACUUUAGACGGCGGCGUGGACACAGCAACAACGACAAUCCUAAAAGACCUACUGACGCCCAAAAAGUAUGGACUUUACCCAUCCUGGCCGUCCAGAAACUCCUCGCGUACGAGGAACUUCUGGAAGGCAUCCCUGCAAUGCUGCUAUACCCCGAAAUCCGCGAAAGUUCAACCCAGUACUGGACCUUCCUGUUGAGCUUUGGUCUUGCAACCGUCGAUCUACAAGCACGCUCUCAUCCGGAAAAAAUCACACUAAAACUUCCAAACCUAACCGUCCGAACGCUACUGACGCGCACUCUGGCGGAAACUCCAGAAAUUCCCGAUUACAAAAAUUUGACCGAGAGUUUGGUCCAAGGAGACUAUGAGACGGUGCAAAUCGUGUUCAAAACAUACUUGGAACAAGCUGGGUACUACGUGAUGAGAGAGGACAAGUACAGCGAGAGGUUUGUGCGUUUCAAACGUCUACGGCUCUCGGACUACGUGAAAGAGCUUUUGGGGCGGGUAAAGUUGAGUUAUAACACGAAUGAACUGACUGUUCACAAUCCGGGGGUGGACUAUAUUGAACUGGUGCCCAACGCCAACGUCCGGAGCGAAAGGUAUAAAUAUACAAUUAGGGUCAGGAUCGAGAAGACUAAGAUACUUAAAGCUGCGUGGAAUAGAAUGAGAAGCAAAAUUUGUGCUAUGGUGAGGACGAUACCGAAAAAUGAGACGGAGAUAUUUGUUCAGUAUGGGAAAUCUUUUGUCGACGUCUGUUUGAGGCGCUAUUUACCGGAGAUGAGGGCGACGACUAGGAAGUAUGUACAACCUGACUGGGAAUAAGCCAUCGCAAACUAAAUGGACAACAUUUGGACGUAUUUAUGUCGCAAACAAAUAGUGAAAUCAGGCAUUUUGUCAAAUGCCUAGGCAGAUAGUUGAAUUUUGGUGGUCUAUAAAAUUUUGUGAAUUUAUGGCGAAGAGCUCGCGAGUUUUCAAUAUUUUUUGGAAAAACAACUCAUCAAACUUACGAAAUCUGUUCGUCUCUUCCUCUUUAAUUGCCGCUCAUAUUUUUAAAUGAUGAAAUUCUAAAAAUUCUUUAUUUUAUAACAUGCUGAAAAUUUUCAGAUAAGUGUCUGCGCAAGAGCUAAAAAUGGCUUAAAAUAUUAUUGUGCGAUGCAAAUUUUUACUGAGAAUUUAUUCUUACAGGAGAAAUUAAUUAAUUAAUUAUUUUUUUUAAAAUUAGGAAAAGAUGCAAAAUUUCAAUCUAAGUUAGAAUAUACUAUUUGCCUAGGCAUUUGACAAAAUGCCUAGUUUUAGUAUUUGCCUGCGACAUUUAUUCUAAAAGGAACUAUAUGCAUUAGGCUUUGCGUGCAAAAUAGUUCCUUUUAGCCUUUUUGUAUAAAUACGUCCAUUUUGCAAGGAGCCACAAUUUCUGGCUCAUUUUGAGGACAGAAUGUCGUCACCUGCCGGCCAAAGUAUCACAAGCCCCAUGCGACAUUUCAAAAUUUUCGCCGUCGUUUUAAUUUUUCACAGAGAAAUUGUUCAACGCAGCUGUCCAAAAAUUUCACUGAAUUUUCUUUGUGCUGCUGAUAAAAUUCAGUGAAAUUUUCAAACAGAUUCAAUCAACAAUUUCUUUGUAAAGAAAUAAAAUGGUGGCGGAAAUUUUUAAACGUCGCAUGGCGCUUGUGAUUCUUUGGCCGGAAGGUGACAAUGUGUGUAUAGGUGUAACAUACAACGUAUUAAUUUCCGUGUGUAGAUAGGUGAUUUUAUGGAUGGGCUAGAAAUGGUUCCCCAUUGCAAAAUGUAAUCUGAUAAUUCCAAUGGACCAACUCGCCAUUUAGUCCAACUGAACUAAAUUUUGCGAUGAGGAGCUACUAUUUCUGGCUAAUUUUAGAAACAAUGCGUGUGUCGCUAGUUUCUCCUAUACAAAUAGGUGCUUCUGUGGUAUUGUAAAAUUUAGUUCGAGUGAUCUUUUAAAAUUCGCAUUGCAAAAAUUAUGUUGACAGCAGCACCUAUAGCUAAAAGUAUCUUAUAAUGUAUAGUAUAUAGUUUGAAAAAGUCAAUCCUUUCAACACUCAGCAAAAUGUGCGCAGGUAAUCCAGAAAACGUAUAUUUAGGUUUUAACCAUAAAUAAGGUAUGUUCCAUUCCUUUUACUAAAUUAGUUAUAACCAUGUGCCUACUGAAUUAUUAUACGUGUAAUAAUUCUGUUUUUCAAUUAGAUAAUGGGGUGAGGAAUCCUUAAAAAUCUAGUUUCACUUAUAAAGGAUUGUGAUUGAUAUUGUGUGAUAAUUUGAUCUCUCCUCGGACAAAAUCUGGUGCGUGAUCUAACAUUUAAUUUAUUUAUAUUCAAAUUUGAUUUUUUAAUAGUACCUAAAGCAAGUUCAAUUUGUAAUUCUGUUGUUAAAUUAGUUUAUGGAGGGAGAAAACCUUCUUUUAAAGGACUUAAACUUAGGACUUAGGACUUUAUCUAAGGACUUUUACUUUUAGAGGAAAAAUGUGGGAUUAAUAUUGUGUGAUUAUUUGAUCUCUGCUUGGACAGAUCUGGUGCGUGAUCCAUACCAUUUUAUUUAUUUCUAUUCAAACUUGAUUUUUUUAUAAUACAUAUAUCUAAAGCCAGUUCGAUUUGUAAAUAGUUGUACUUUUAGAUAAAGUUAAGAUGUGAUUUUGCUGACAAUUAAAAUAUUACUUUUGAUACAUCUAUUUGUUUUUAAGUGGUGCAUCCAUUUGUUAAUGUCCCGAUGGCCUGCAAGAGUUCGUAAUUGUUGAAACAUUCUUCCUAUCGCGUUAUGUGUCUGCCGAGCAAGGACCCCUAAAACGAGUAAACUGGACGAAUUGAAAGUCAAC
rnacentral:lncRNA from 1 species